rnacentral:lncRNA from 1 species
GCGAGAGAAGAGGGUGUAGUGGUCUUACACCUACCGAUUGAGUUGUUAAAACUUGUUUUGUGUAGGAGCCCUACCAGCCUUAUAUCCAAUGGCUUAACCAUGACACCACUGAGGCCGAUGAGACCUUUUCAUAUUGGAUUGGUUGAAUUAGAACAUUGGUACAGUGGUGUGCACUGGUCUGUUCUUUUGUUUGUUUUUUUAAAAACAUGAAUCUUGGAUACAGAGUGUGUUCUAUAGCUUCAUAUUACAUUUUCAAAAUUAUAUACACCCUUUACUAUUCACUACUGUGUGAUGAAUGUAAAUCAUCUGAUUCAGAUUGUUUUAAUUGUGAUUGGAAGACACAAUGAGUUUCUUAUUGCAUUAUUUAUUUUAUUGUGUCAGCUAUAGUUAAAAUAUCAAAUACUUUUGUAGGUUAGUGGAGCCCGGUAUUCGCAAAAAUUAAGUCAGACUUUUAUAGGAUUCAAGUCUGAUAGCCUACUAUAAUACGUCUGAUGCAGCGUUUGAAAUAGGGAGUAAAACACAUCUGCUGUUAAAUUAGUUUACCAGUGAAACCAUCUUUAUGACAUCAUUACGGAACACACAUUGUUCAUUUAUUGUUUUACUACCGCAUAUUUUAGCAGUCGUAUUUGUUCUUACAUGUAUAUUGAACUGAUUUAAAUAUGUAGAUACCUGACUUAUUUAAUACUACUUCACAUAAGGCAAUACUACUUAACUACAUGGGUUACGGAGACGAGGGAUAACCCAAACUUUUUCUUGUACAAUGACACCAUAAUGUAUCAUUGCACAGCCAAACACUUGAGCUGCAUGUCAUAUGGUUCACAAACUGUAUAUUUUAUUAUAAAUCGUACCUUGUAGUGACACAUUAUUCUGCUACAUACAACUGAUAUUUCCAGACUACCGGUAUACAUGUAGCUUGCUACUCAUAAAAUAAAUUGUCUGGAGUAUUUUAUCAGCAUAUAAAAAUUAUAACAUGCAACCAAAUAACCAUUGCAUGAGAGGUUUGGGCGAUGCUCGAGAUAUUUAAAAAUAACACUAUUUUAAUACUACUCUUUUAUUCUUGAUCACCCAUGGAAUUGUAUUUAUUGUUUUAAAUAUGUAUAGACACCACUAUUUUAAAGCUAUUAUUAAUAUAGUAUCACCUACUUCAUUGUAUAACUGUUUUAAAUAUGUACAGAGUGUUUAAACACUAUUAUUUUAAUAUCAACCAUGAUAUUGUAUUUACCAUUUUAAAUAUGUAUAGACACCACUAUUUUAAUACUGUAUAACCAUGACACUGUAUUUGUUAGAAGAAGGUAUAGAAAACCCCUAUUUUAAUACUUUAUUAUUGGAACCAGACGGUGGGUACAUGUAGUUAUGGUUGUUUUCAUGUUGUAGCUGCCACUAUUUUUGGUAUGUAUGAUAUGGAUGUAUUGUUUUUAUGAACAGUGACUAUUUGUGACUUUAACUAUUGUCAUUAGCCAUUAGAACUACUGAAGUUGCAAAAAGGUUGUUCAAGUUUUUGAAGUUAUUUAAAAAUGCAUAUGAAUAUUAAUUUCCUUUUUCUUUUAUGCUUUUUACAAUUGAUAACAUCAUAUUACUGAAUCUAGAUGAAUGGCUGACUAUAAAACCUGUCAAUAAUGAUAGACACCAUUAAUAGCAGGUUUGGGCAUUUUUCAUUUUUCCUCUCAGAAUUGGUUUAAAAUUUGUAGAUUAUUUACUUUCAAAUUGGUGUCUGCGCAAUAAUACAGUAAACCUGUGUCAACCAGACUGGAAUCCUGUUAAAAGUGACCAAGUUUCAUGGUUCCAAAUAUUCUCAAUUCUAAAACGAGACCCUCUAAACACGGGAUCCUGUCUAAAUCAGAUAAUUAUUAGAUCCCCAGUGUGAUUCCGUUUACACAGGUUUCACUGUACUGGUAAUAUUAAAUUCAUGAAUAGUUUUUUCCUGAGGUUAUCAUAGUCAUAAUAAAAAGAAUCUGAUUUCUGUUUAACAAAACAUUUUUACAUUUUGCCAUAUGCAUUUCUCAAUUAAUCUUAACCUGUGUUAUGACUGGGUAUUAUUCCGUCCAUGUUUGAAAUAUUUUUGUUGUUUUUGCUGUUUGUUUACUUACUGUGAUAUUUGACCUCUAGUUUAGGAAUGUGUGAUUGACCUUUCAUUAAUACAUGUAUUACUUAAUUUAGAAGUAAUAUGCAUAUUGCACUGGGUUUUUUUAAUUUUAUUACAAACCUGAAAAGUGUGUUCUCAUUUUAUAUGUUAAUUGGUCUUCUAACCUAAUUGCAGUGGCUUAUUAAAGAGAGCUAUAAAGAUGUGUUCGAUUUAAAGCAGUGGAAGCAGAAAGAAUAAAUAAUAGUUACGAAAUGGGUAUCCUUCACACAAGGGAAGAUUUAAUGCAGUGGAAGCCACAAGGGAAGAUUUAAAGCAGUGGAAGCGGAAAGAAUAAAUAAUAGUUACGAAGUGGGUAUCCUUCACACAAGGGACGAUAUAAUGCAGUGGAAGCGGAAAGAAUAAAUAAUAAUUACGAAAUGGGUAUCCUUCACACAAGGGAAGAUUUAAUGCAGUGGAAGCCACAAGGGAAGAUUUAAAGCAGUGGAAGCGGAAAGAAUAAAUAAUAGUUACGAAAUGGGUAUCCUUCACACAAGGGAAGAUUUAAUGCAGUGGAAGCCACAAGGGAAGAUUUAAAGCAGUGGAAGCGGAAAGAAUAAAUAAUAGUUACGAAAUGGGUAUCCUUCACACAAGGGAAGAUUUAAGGCCGUGGAAGCGGAAAGAAUAAAUAAUAGUUACGAAAUGGGUAUCCUUCACACAAGGGAAGAUUUAAGGCCGUGGAAGCGGAAAGAAUAAAUAAUAGUUACGAAAUGGGUAUCCUUCACACAAGGGAAGAUUUAAAGCAGUGGAAGCGGAAAGAAUAAAUAAUAGUUACGAAGUGGGUAUCCUUCACACAAGGGAAGAUUUAAUGCAGUGGAAGCCACAAGGGAAGAUUUAAAGCAGUGGAAGCGGAAAGAAUAAAUAAUAGUUACGAAAUGGGUAUCCUUCACACAAGGGAAGAUUUAAGGCCGUGGAAGCGGAAAGAAUAAAUAAUAGUUACGAAAUGGGUAUCCUUCACACAAGGGAAGAUUUAAGGCCGUGGAAGCGGAAAGAAUAAAUAAUAGUUACGAAAUGGGUAUCCUUCACACAAGGGAAGAUUUAAAGCAGUGGAAGCGGAAAGAAUAAAUAAUAGUUACGAAGUGGGUAUCCUUCACACAAGGGAAGAUUUAAUGCAGUGGAAGCGGAAAGAAUAAAUAAUAGUUACGAAAUGGGUAUCCUUCACACAAGGGAAGAUUUAAUGCAGUGGAAGCCACAAGGGAAGAUUUAAUGCAGUGGAAGCGGAAAGAAUAAAUAAUAGUUACGAAAUGGGUAUCCUUCACACAAGGGAAGAUUUAAUGCAGUGGAAGCCACAAGGGAAGAUUUAAUGCAGUGGAAGCGGAAAGAAUAAAUAAUAGUUACGAAAUGGGUAUCCUUCACACAAGGGAAGAUUUAAAGCAGUGGAAGCAGAAAGAAUAAAUAAUAGUUAAGAAAUGGGUAUCCUUCACACAAGGGAAGAUAUAAAGCAGUGGAAGCGGAAAGAAUAAAUAAUAGUUACGAAGUGGGUAUCCUUCACACAAGGGACGAUUUAAUGCAGUGGAAGCGGAAAGAAUAAAUAAUAGUUACGAAUUGGGUAUCCUUCACACAAGGGAAGAUUUAAAGCAGUGGAAGCGGAAAGAAUAAAUAAUAGUUACGAAAUGGGUAUCCUUCACACAAGGGAAGAUUUAAUGCAGUGGAAGCGGAAAGAAUAAAUAAUAGUUACGAAAUGGGUAUCCUUCACACAAGGGAAGAUUUAAAGCAGUGGAAGCGGAAAGAAUAAAUAAUAGUUACGAAGUGGGUAUCCUUCACACAAGGGACGAUAUAAUGCAGUGGAAGCGGAAAGAAUAAAUAAUAGUUACGAAAUGGGUAUCCUUCACACAAGGGAAGAUUUAAUGCAGUGGAAGCCACAAGGGAAGAUUUAAAGCAGUGGAAGCGGAAAGAAUAAAUAAUAGUUACGAAAUGGGUAUCCUUCACACAAGGGAAGAUUUAAUGCAGUGGAAGCCACAAGGGAAGAUUUAAAGCAGUGGAAGCGGAAAGAAUAAAUAAUAGUUACGAAAUGGGUAUCCUUCACACAAGGGAAGAUUUAAGGCCGUGGAAGCGGAAAGAAUAAAUAAUAGUUACGAAAUGGGUAUCCUUCACACAAGGGAAGAUUUAAGGCCGUGGAAGCGGAAAGAAUAAAUAAUAGUUACGAAAUGGGUAUCCUUCACACAAGGGAAGAUUUAAGGCCGUGGAAGCGGAAAGAAUAAAUAAUAGUUACGAAAUGGGUAUCCUUCACACAAGGGACGAUUUAAUGCAGUGGAAGCGGAAAGAAUAAAUAACAGUUACGAAAUGGGUAUCCUUCACACAAGGGACGAUUUAAUGCAGUGGAAGCGGAAAGAAUAAAUAAUAGUUACGAAAUGGGUAUCCUUCACACAAGGGACGAUUUAAUGCAGUGGAAGCGGAAAGAAUAAAUAAUAGUUACGAAAUGGGUAUCCUUCACGCAAGGGACGAUUUAAUGCAGUGGAAGCGGAAAGAAUAAAUAAUAGUUACGAAAUGGGUAUCCUUCACACAAGGGAAGAUUUAAGGCCGUGGAAGCGGAAAGAAUAAAUAAUAGUUACGAAAUGGGUAUCCUUCACACAAGGGAAGAUUUAAAGCAGUGGAAGCGGAAAGAAUAAAUAAUAGUUACGAAAUGGGUAUCCUUCACACAAGGGAAGAUUUAAUGCAGUGGAAGCCACAAGGGAAGAUUUAAUGCAGUGGAAGCGGAAAGAAUAAAUAAUAGUUACGAAAUGGGUAUCCUUCACACAAGGGAAGAUUUAAUGCAGUGGAAGCCACAAGGGAAGAUUUAAUGCAGUGGAAGCGGAAAGAAUAAAUAAUAGUUACGAAAUGGGUAUCCUUCACACAAGGGAAGAUUUAAAGCAGUGGAAGCAGAAAGAAUAAAUAAUAGUUACGAAAUGGGUAUCCUUCACACAAGGGAAGAUUUAAAGCAGUGGAAGCAGAAAGAAUAAAUAAUAGUUACGAAGUGGGUAUCCUUCACACAAGGGAAGAUAUAAAGCAGUGGAAGCGGAAAGAAUAAAUAAUAGUUACGAAGUGGGUAUCCUUCACACAAGGGACGAUUUAAUGCAGUGGAAGCGGAAAGAAUAAAUAAUAGUUACGAAAUGGGUAUCCUUCACACAAGGGAAGAUUUAAAGCAGUGGAAGCAGAAAGAAUAAAUAAUAGUUAAGAAAUGGGUAUCCUUCACACAAGGGAAGAUUUAAAGCAGUGGAAGUGGAAAGAAUAAAUAAUAGUUACGAAAUGGGUAUCCUUCACACAAGGGACGAUUUAAUGCAGUGGAAGCGGAAAGAAUAAAUAAUAGUUACGAAAUGGGUAUCCUUCACACAAGGGAAGAUUAGCAGUGGAAGCAGAAAGAAUAAAUAAUAGUUACGAAAUGGGUAUCCUUCACACAAGGGAAGAUUUAAAGCAGUGGAAGCGGAAAGAAUAAAUAAUAGUUACGAAAUGGGUAUCCUUCACACAAGGGAAGAUAUAAAGCAGUGGAAGCGGAAAGAAUAAAUAAUAGUUACGAAAUGGGUAUCCUUCACACAAGGGACGAUUUAAUGCAGUGGAAGCGGAAAGAAUAAAUAAUAGUUACGAAAUGGGUAUCCUUCACACAGGGGAAGAUUUAAAGCAGUGGAAGCGGAAAGAAUAAAUAAUAGUUACGAAAUGGGUAUCCUUCACACAAGGGAAGAUUUAAUGCAGUGGAAGCGGAAAGAAUAAAUAAUAGUUACGAAAUGGGUAUCCUUCACACAAGGGAAGAUUUAAAGCAGUGGAAGCGGAAAGAAUAAAUAAUAGUUACGAAAUGGGUAUCCUUCACACAAGGGAAGAUUUAAUGCAGUGUAAGCGGAAAGAAUAAAUAAUAGUUACGAAAUGGGUAUCCUUCACACAAGGGAAGAUUUAAUGCAGUGGAAGCGGAAAGAAUAAAUAAUAGUUAGGAAAUGGGUAUCCUUCACACAAGGGAAGAUUUAAUGCAGUGGAAGCGGAAAGAAUAAAUAAUAGUUAGGAAAUGGGUAUCCUUCACACAAGGGAAGAUUUAAAGCAGUGGAAGCGGAAAGAAUAAAUAAUAGUUACGAAAUGGGUAUCCUUCACACAAGGGAAGAUUUAAAGCAGUGGAAGCGGAAAGAAUAAAUAAUAGUUACGAAAUGGGUAUCCUUCACACAAGGGAAGAUUUAAUGCAGUGGAAGCGGAAAGAAUAAAUAAUAGUUACGAAAUGGGUAUCCUUCACACAAGGGAAGAUUUAAUGCAGUGGAAGCGGAAAGAAUAAAUAAUAGUUACGAAAUGGGUAUCCUUCACACAAGGGAAGAUUUAAUGCAGUGGAAGCGGAAAGAAUAAAUAAUAGUUACGAAAUGGGUAUCCUUCACACAAGGGACGAUUUAAUGCAGUGGAAGCGGAAAGAAUAAAUAAUAGUUACGAAAUGGGUAUCCUUCACACAAGGGACGAUUUAAUGCAGUGGAAGCGGAAAGAAUAAAUAAUAGUUACGAAAUGGGUAUCCUUCACACAAGGGAAGAUUUAAAGGGACAGACCCUAGAUUUUAAACACUAAUGCAUAUUUUUCACCUAGACCCUAGUUUCAACCCGCAAAAAUGGAUAAUGAGUUUGGUUAAUUUAGAAACCUGAAAAAAGGUGGAUAUAAUAGAGUGAAACAAGAGUCUGUGACGUUGAAAAAAUACCCUUAAAACUAGACUAAAAUGCGAUUCAGAUAACCAGAAACACUUUGGUUGUAUGGAAAUUAAUAAUCUAAACAAUACAAAAUAUAGGUAAUGUUCGAUUUCAGUUAUCAUAAAUGGCUCUGAUAGUGAAACAUAUGCCUUAGUGUUUAAAAACUAGGGUAUGUCCCUUUAAUGCAUUGUUUAACUGUUGGCAGGUUCAGGUCCAUUGGGGCUCAGGCUGGGGAGAUUCAAUUGGGUGAAAGGUCAGGUUACGUAGUAGUGGGAAAAGAGAAAUGCUUAAAAUCUCCCCUGAAUUUCAUUACAUUUUGAAAUAUUAGCCCUUGUUUCAACUUGUUUCAUGUCUAUGUUGUCAAAGGAUGCCUUUAGAAUACUAUUUUACUUAAGUGUGAUUUUUCAACUCAUUGGGAAAAUGUCUUCACUGGAAAAAAUUAUUGCACAACACUCAUGUCUGUUUGACAUUGGUUAAUGCAAUUUUGUGUUCCUACACAACCCUAGAUGUUUGAUUUUCUGUAAAAAUAAUUAAAAUAUUUAGUUUCUUUGUUACCUGUGGCAGUGUCUUGGGGAAGGAGGGUUAAUCAGGAAGGAAUAGGGAUGUAAAUAGGGGUCAUUCCAAAUGUUGGGGUGUUUUUUUAGAUUUUAAAUAAUAAUGUAACUUAUGUAUUUUUUAAAAUUUAAAUAAAAAGACCUGAUUAUUAAAUUGGUGCCUUAAUUAGUAAGGCCAUAUUUAACUAUUUCAGUUUCGUGUUUAAUUAUUUCCAAUUCAUAAGAACAAGUGAAUGUGAGCAUGCUGAGCUCAGAGUUAUGUUUAUUUGUUGUUGGUUUUUUUAUAUGGGGUGGGGAGAGAAAAAUAAUUUAAAUUACAUUUUAGCUACUAAAGUAAAACAAAUUUAGACUGACUGCCAUGUUGUAGGUACGCAGUAUAUUGUACUUCUUUUUUAAAUCUCUAUCUUAUUGUAUUAAUAGUAGUUAUUGACUAAUUUUGUGUCCUGUUUAUUGUUACUCUCUACCUUAGAAGUGUACUUGUUUUGUAACAAGCCAUGUGUUGUGUUGUAAUUAAGCUGCACUGUGAUACAAUAAAAGAAAGCAGCUAUACAAGGAGGAA